GAAACAGAGGACCCAAUAAAUUCACAAUUCAGCACGAUACUCCCCCAUAUCCUCCAAAGCCUGUCACCAUGGAAAUUAGGCACUAAUGAAGGAAAUUCAACAAACAAAAGACAAUCAAAUGUUAACACGAAUGGAUCUUGAAUUUUAUCCUGAUGAUCUCUAGACGCUGGCUUUCCCAAGAAGAGCCAAAUUCAAAGGAUGAAAUUUGUCAUCGUUUUUUGUAUGGAAUAUAAACAUAGUUCAGCAGUGGUGACAAGAUGGAACCCUGAAGGACAUUACAGGUAGGGUCCUUCACAGAGGAUGAGCAGCUCCGCAAUAAUACUCUAAAAGAUUUCUCUGAAUCGAAGGAGAGAAUCCACAAAAGAGCUACUCUGCCCACUUUUGCAAGAGCCUCCAGGUGUAUCAACAAUAUUUCAUUGACAAUCGUCAAAAGUUGUUCAUGGAUUAUUAAAAUUGUUUUCACAAGGACAACCUUUGAUAUCAAUAGUUUCACUUGCAUGCCCAGACUGGUAUGGAGCAAGAAUAGUGAUAGAUUAAGUGUAGUGGGAGUUGAUUUAUUAUGAUCCUCUAUAUAAUCUUCCCUAAAACGGGAGGUUCAAGACAUGAUUGGAAAAAAAAUUAAUUUCCAACAGUCACUACUUGGGCCAGGGACUAACCACCUCUGGAAUAAGCAAGACUGGGCAGCUUGUCCUUUUGCUCUACCACCAUUCAUCUUAGCUGAGAAUUAAGUGAAGAGUUACUCACAGCAAAUAAAACAUUUGACUUUACUA